rnacentral:lncRNA from 1 species
CAGCCGGUGCCAUCGUCAGCCUCUUGAGGUGAUGCCGUUUCUUUAGCUGAGUUUUGAGUGCUUUCGUAGCUCUUGAAAGGUCACACAGAUGCUCUGAGGGUGUGGAGCUCUCGCAGAGGGUGGGGGCAGCUCCAGGCAGGCUGCUCCGGCACCCCUGUCCUGGGUGCCACUGACCUGAACUGCUCCUCAGGCAGGGGCAGUCAGUCCAUGCAGGCGAGGACUCUUGACACCCUGGAGAGCUCCCAUCACUGCUUGUGGGUAUGGGUUCCAGCGUGGUGCUCCCCAGGGCUGUGGCAGGGUGGCGGGAUGCCCGUGGAAGGAGAUUCUUUUGGUCUGGUUUUCGCUCCGGUCUGUGGCAGGUCAGACUUACUGGGUCAAGUUAGAUGCCUUUUGCUUAACCCUUCCAGGGCGAGUGGUCACGGCAGCCCUGCACAGAGUGGCACAGGCUCAGGGUGUGUUCCAUCCUGUGUCCCCAGUCACUUUCCCAGAGAGAACUGCCUGUCCUUCAGCCCUGAAGACCGUGGGCCCUGAGCUGCACUUGCUGGCAUCUGGGUUGCAGCUGGUGGUGGUGUUUGUGCCGGGGCCUCUCUCAUCUCAGGUUUGUUUUGGGCUGUUGCUACAUAGCAGGCCACGUGCAGAGGCAGCAGAGGCAGGGCAGCAUCGCUCACCCUCAACCCUCAGCCUUUCUGCUGGGCCCCCAUGGCCACGAGGGGCUUUGGGUGAGCGGGAGUGUGUGUGUGUGUGUGUGUGUGUGUGUAUGUGUGUGCGUGCCCUGCCACACUCCUCCAGCAGUCUGUGGGCGACUGUUCCCACCUCGGCAGGUCCUGGGCUGUGUGUUAGGUUUGCUCACCGUGACCAGGACACCCACAAGCUCUGUGGUCGGAUUUGGGGACAGUGACUGCCAGCCCCUUCUUGGGGCAGAGUACAGCCAUGUGGUCAGAGUGAUUGCAGUACCAAGUAGGACACUGUGAGCAUGCACCUAUGUUUUUUGUAACUUGAGAGAAAUUUAUUUGUGUUUGUGAAAACCCACAGAGCCAUGGGGAUCUGUGGCUUAUAAACAUGCAGUGGCCAUCUCCAUCCACCCCCCUUCCCCCCCCACCCGAGCCUGACACAGAAAGGGCAAGCACCAGGCUGCACAUGGCUGGGCAGAGCUUGCUGUACCCUGGGCUGGUGCUGACACUGGCUCUUCAGCGAGUUUUGGGCACCAAUUUUGAUAUUAUUUAUCUUGAUUCUGACUUUUAGCAUCCCUUAAAUUUUGAGCCUGAGGCGAACACCCUGCCCUCAUGUCAACUUUGGUUUCGGCCACUGAUCCUGAAAGUAGAGACAUGAAAUACAGCCCAUUCUGCUGGCAGCUCAUGGAUGCCCGCCUGCUGCCAGGUGGAGUCUCCUGGGGCCUGCCCACGUGCCCCGCUGCAACUGCCUGAGCUUCCUUUCACCACCUCCUGGUUGAGCAGAUGGGUUUGUAACUGGCAGCAAGAGUGGAAGCCACAUCUGUAAACGGAGGCCGGGGUAGAGCCUAGCCCGGUCAGCAUGCUGAGGAGGCCCUGCCGCUCCGGUGCCUGUGCAGUCUGGCGUCCUCCGGACCCCGGGGAAAAGAGGCCGCCUUCCUCCCACUGCGCUGUCGCCGGCCCCCUUCCCUCCUGGCUUUUUUUCUUCCAGAAACUGGCUUAUAGCUGUGUCCAGAGCAUCAGGUGCCCCUCGGGAGAAGCCCACACUUCUGCCGGCUGGGCUGUGGCCCCGGGUGGCUUCGUGGAGAUGAACUGUUUCCUUCGUCCCUUCUGACUGCUUAUUCUCACCCCAGCCUUCCAAGGGCUCAGCCUGUCUCUGCGCAAAAUGUGCUCUGCAGAGGCUGUCCGGGAGUCUGAAGGACGCUGCCGAGAAAGCCCUAGGAGCUCGCUCACACAAGAGGAAGUGGCCAUGAAGGUGGUGUGGUGGGAGACCACUGACGACUGACUGCCCAGGCUGGCCGCUCAGAGUGAGCGCACCUCUGCUCCGCCUGUCCAGGCGCAUAAGGAAGCGGCCCCAGUCCGCACCUUCCCCGCUCCGCACCGCGCCCGCCGUGUGCCCACAGGGUGGAUGCAGCGGGACAGACCUCCGUCCGGCCUCAUCUGUCUGUCGCUGGCGGCCGUGGGCUCCUGCAGCGAGCGCUCGCUCCUCACUUCCUCAAGGGUGGUUGUUACGUCAGCUCCUUAAGCCCUGACAGAGAACGCACAGGAAAAGUGUCGCUGCCAUGUGUGCUCCUGGACAGCCAGCCGCAGGCCCUAUCGCCACCGGGACACAGGCACUAGUUCCCUCUGCCACAUGGAAGCGUGAGCCGCCGUUGGGACUCCGGGACGGACGUGGUGAUGUGAUAGAGCCACAGACCCUGCUGCCUAGCCAUGACCCUGCAUUCCGCACGUCCGGCCCCAGCAGCUCCGCCCUCAGUGGCAGGAAGGCAUCCAGCUGGCUUGCGGGAUGGCCGCCUGCCUCGGGGCUGGGUAUCUGUGCAGUGGGGUCACUGUUGUAACCGCUGAGCAGUGGGCCUCCACAGCUGGCCGCCAGUCCGCCCAGCCCAGGAGUUGAGACCUAGUGUCCUUACUGGCCACGCAGGGAUGACACAGCCAGGGCUCGGGCCCAGGCGCGCGGCAGUCCCAGGCAGCUCCGGCGUGGCAACCCCCAGACAGUUCACGCGGCAAAGAAUCACGCUGGUCAACCUCAGGGACCUCAUAUUUUGUUUAGAAAAUGAGCGCGAGACAAGCCAUUCACUGUUGCUCUACAAAGCAUUCCUUAAGUGACACAGGAGGGAGCACGGUGUUUUUGACGAGACGCCUGGGGACAUUUUUAUAUAUUUGCAGAUUACGCCUUUUUGUAAGAAGCAAAUGGGAUAUUGUUUAAAAACAGCCACUUCUUUACAAUGGAACAGUUUUAUAUUCCCGUUUCUAAAUCAGCUCAGUGUGGAAGAAAACCUGUUUCUGCAGCAGAGAGAAUACAGAGGCCUGUGGAUACUCCUAAAGGACAACUAAACCCGAGCUCAUCCUUGAUUGAGUGGCCUUCUUGCCAAACAAGCCAUAUAUAAAGACUGAUGGAAUCGCUUAGCAAAUAACUCGCUGCGCUCUGUCACCGUGUAGCAGUUUCUACCUUAUUUGUGCGUUUUGGUUUAGUUGAGCCUAACUUACUGCGUAGGUGUGUGUCUGCAGCCGAUGACCUCCUUUCACUUAUUUUAUUUUUGUAAUAGUCAGUUGGCAAAGCAAACUGAUUUUUAGACUAUUUAUCUCCCUUCCUUCCCCUCCCCUCCCCUCAAAACUCUCCAGGAACACACAGUUCAUUGCAGCUCCGUCACCUUGGAGGGUGACCGCAUUUCUGCUCGGUGGAGGCUGGGAGUCCAGCCGGGGCGGGCUCCUCUGAAUGUGCUCAGCAUCUGUACAAAUGCAUUUUGUUUGCUACAGUUUGUGAAGCUGUAAAGUUAAGAGAAAUGAGAACCUUUUCAGCAUAAAUAUAUUUUACUUGCACUGUGUUUUUUAGCUACAAGUGAAAACUUAGAUUAAAUAAAAUCAGAGUUGAGAAGAAUCAUCAAGAGACUGUUUCUCAGUGUGAAUCAAGUGUUGAAAAAUGGUUGGUGUAUUUUGUCAGUAAUUGUACAUAACUUUUGGCACAUAACAUAAAAUGGCUAUGUAAACUAUAAUUAUUUUGCUAAGAGACUGUAUGCAAGCUGUGGGCCGACUUUACAGACGCCCAGAGCAAAGCCCCUUCUUUGUACCUAUUUUUUUAUUACAAAUAUACUAAUUGGUUCUUUAUAUUUUCAGAGGUUAUUGUAUUAAAUUGUCUAUUGAUAGUACUUUUAUGAUUGUAAAUACUUGGCUUUCUCCGUGUGAAUUCUCACAUUAGACUUUAAUUCGCGCGUGUGAACUGAACACUGAUCAGUAUUUUUUAUCAACACCUGAGAACUGUUACACCUUUUAUUUUAUCUUUUAGAAAAUCCCUGUCUUUCCAUUUUUUCAUGUAAAUUUUGCAC